rnacentral:rRNA from 1 species
AAACGGGGUCUAAUACUGGAUAUUGACUUUACCUCGCAUGGGGUUUGGUUGAAAGAUUUAUUGGUUUUGGAUGGACUCGCGGCCUAUCAGCUUGUUGGUGAGGUAAUGGCUCACCAAGGCGACGACGGGUAGCCGGCCUGAGAGGGUGACCGGCCACACUGGGACUGAGACACGGCCCAGACUCCUACGGGAGGCAGCAGUGGGGAAUAUUGCACAAUGGGCGAAAGCCUGAUGCAGCGACGCCGCGUGAGGGAUGACGGCCUUCGGGUUGUAAACCUCUUUCAGUAGGGAACAAGGCCAGCAUUUUUGUUGGUUGAGGGUACUUGCAGAAGAAGCGCCGGCUAACUACGUGCCAGCAGCCGCGGUAAUACGUAGGGCGCAAGCGUUAUCCGGAAUUAUUGGGCGUAAAGAGCUCGUAGGCGGUUUGUCGCGUCUGCCGUGAAAGUCCGGGGCUCAACCCCGGAUCUGCGGUGGGUACGGGCAGACUAGAGUGAUGUAGGGGAGACUGGAAUUCCUGGUGUAGCGGUGAAAUGCGCAGAUAUCAGGAGGAACACCGAUGGCGAAGGCAGGUCUCUGGGCAUUAACUGACGCUGAGGAGCGAAAGCAUGGGGAGCGAACAGGAUUAGAUACCCUGGUAGUCCAUGCCGUAAACGUUGGGCACUAGGUGUGGGGGACAUUCCACGUUUUCCGCGCCGUAGCUAACGCAUUAAGUGCCCCGCCUGGGGAGU